AGAAUUUGUUUCUUACGUCAAAUCCCCUAAUACCUACUGGUUUUAUCAGUAAUUCUCUUUAGAAAAAAUUGACAGCAUGUUUUUCUUCCUCAACUGCUUUAAACUGGACUUUCUGUUAACACUUGUUUUCUACUUGAAGGGUUAGGAUAGUCAAUUCUCUGAUACUUCUAUUGAUCUUUGGCAGUAAAGAUCUAAAUGACCAACUUUUUUCAUGCCAGGUUGGUUGUGUGACAGGAA
rnacentral:misc_RNA from 1 species